UGGAAACGACUGCUAAUACCGCAUGACACUUUUGGGAGACAUCUCCUGGAAGUCAAAGCUUUAUGUGCUGAAAGAUGGCCUCGCGUCUGAUUAGCUGGUUGGUGAGGUAACGGCUCACCAAGGCGACGAUCAGUAGCCGGUCUGAGAGGAUGAACGGCCACAUUGGGACUGAGAUACGGCCCAGACUCCUACGGGAGGCAGCAGUGGGGAAUAUUGGGCAAUGGGGGAAACCCUGACCCAGCAACGCCGCGUGAAGGAAGAAGGCCUUCGGGUUGUAAACUUCUUUUACCAGGGACGAAGGACGUGACGGUACCUGGAGAAAAAGCAACGGCUAACUACGUGCCAGCAGCCGCGGUAAUACGUAGGUUGCAAGCGUUGUCCGGAUUUACUGGGUGUAAAGGGCGUGUAGGCGGAGAUGCAAGUUGGGAGUGAAAUCCAUGGGCUC
rnacentral:rRNA from 1 species